rnacentral:rRNA from 1 species
AUGCAGCCGUUCAACAGUAGAACCUUGAUUGAAGAGGUGACUGACAGUGAGUUGCCAAUGGAGCCGGUGCACCACCCUGUGCAGUCACCGCCAGGCGGACAAGUGGGAGGUGCGAGCACUUCAAUUGGCGGUGGGCAGAUCUGUCCCCCAUCAGUGGAAGGACAAGCAAGGAGUGGAGAUAAGGCAGAUGCUUCAGAAAACUCCGUGGAGCAGAUUGAUCCAAAAACGCCUGCUUGGACGCGAAGGGUCAAGAUAGGUGCUGCAGCACCAGCCACCAGGGCGUGCCCCAUGCCCAGAUAG